rnacentral:rRNA from 1 species
UGGGCAAUCUGCCCUUCACUCUGGGACAAGCCCUGGAAACGGGGUCUAAUACCGGAUAUACCUCAUUGAUCUCCUGGUUGGUGGGGGAAAGCUUUUGCGGUGUGGGAUGGGCCCGCGGCCUAUCAGCUUGUUGGUGAGGUUACGGCUCACCAAGGCGACGACGGGUAGCCGGCCUGAGAGGGUGACCGGCCACACUGGGACUGAGACACGGCCCAGACUCCGUACGGGAGGCAG